rnacentral:rRNA from 1 species
UAAACUGCUUUUCUGCAGGAAGAAUAUAUAGUCUUAGGGGUACAUUGACGGUACUGCAGGAAUAAGCAUCGGCUAACUCCGUGCCAGCAGCCGCGGUAAUACGGAGGAUGCAAGCGUUAUCCGGAUUCAUUGGGUUUAAAGGGUGCGCAGGCUGUAAGGCAAGUCAGUGGUGAAAGCCCUGGGCUUAACUCAGGGAUUGCCAUUGAAACUGUUUUACUAGAGUGUAGUAGAGGACGGCGGAAUGAGUUGUGUAGCGGUGAAAUGCAUAGAUAUAACUCAGAACACCUAUUGCGUAGGCAGCUGUCUAUACUACAACUGACGCUGAGGCACGAAAGCGUGGGGAGCGAACAGGAUUAGAUACCCUGGUAGUCCACGCUGUAAACGAUGAUCACUCGUUGUUGGCUACUUAGUAGUCAGUGACCAAGGGAAACCGAUAAGUGAUCCACCUGGGGAGUACGUCGGCAACGAUGAAACUCAAAGGAAUUGACGGGGGCCCGCACAAGCGGAGGAACAUGUGGUUUAAUUCGAUGAUACGCGAGGAACCUUACCUGGGCUUAAAUGCUGGCUGCAUUGGAGGGAAACCUUCAUUUCCUACGGGACCGCCAGCAAGGUGCAGCAUGGUUGUCGUCAGCUCGUGCCGUGAGGUGUCGGGUUAAGUCCCAUAACGAGCGCAACCCCUAUCGCUAGUUGCCAGCAUGUAAUGGUGGGGACUCUAGCGAGACUGCCGGUGUAAACCGGAGGAAGGUGGGGAUGACGUCAAAUCAGCACGGCCCUUACGUCCAGGGCUACACACGUGUUACAAUGGCCGGUACAAAGAGCAGCCACCUGGCGACAGGGCGCUAAUCUCUAAAACCGGUCUCAGUUCGGAUCGAAGUCUGCAAUUCGACUUCGUGAAGGUGGAUUCGCUAGUAAUCGCGCAUCAGCCAUGGCGCGGUGAUAAGUUC